ACUGGGCUCCUUUCAAAACUAAAUCUGUCAGAUGGUCUUGGAGAAGAUAAACUGGCCCACACAGGAUGAGGAUGAAGACAGUGAAGUCUCUUUGGAGGAUUCCUGUAGGAUCACAGGAUUCCGGCGCACAUUUAUUGAGAUGGCAUCUCCCCUUAUCCUUGGGAAACUUGUGCAGUUCUGGAUAGGAUGGAAUGUGCUUCCUAGACAUGGCCUGGAUGUGACCGUGGUGGAGAGCAACUUCCCCAGCUCUUCCACAUGCUUUCACCAGCUGAAACUUCCAGGACAUUACAAAGAGUACUGUACCAGCGUCUUCAUGUAACUCAGUCAAAUAUUGUCACCUAAUCGUCCUAGUCGAAACUUUAAAAGACUACAUUUCCCACAGCAACAGCCUUUUGAUACACACACAUUUACUGUAGCAUUUCAGUCAAUAAGCCCACAGUUUGUACAUAGACAUUCCACACAUUGGACAGAGGGCCAUCAGGGUCUGGAAGUCUUUCCACUUCCUGGUCAGUCAGUGAACAUUGCAGCUGAACUUCAGGAACCACAACAUGAGGCUGGCGAUGAGCACAUGGUCCAGUCCAGUCAACUCCAAACUCAAUGUCAACCUGCAAUUGCAAGAGCUAAAGUUAGAGUCAACCAAAAUCAAAGUUUUAAUAUAUUUGUCAGUUAAUUCAUUUUAUAUAACCUAAAGUUUUGUAUCAUCUCCUGGAAUUCCUGAUUAAUGUCUCAUGAACAGCUAUGACAUCAAUCAAAUAAUUAGAGAGAGCAGAAAGCCCUGAUGUAUCAUUAUCUUCCUUAACCGCUUGUUCUGGUUGAUCACAGCAUUUUAGGAAUACCUCAUAGAAGUGUUUAAAGUGCCGAUGAUAUGCAGAAUAAAAUAAUUCCAUCACAUUCA